GGGGAAUAUUGGACAAUGGGGGCAACCCUGAUCCAGCCAUGCCGCGUGAGUGUUGAAGGCCUUAGGGUUGUAAAGCUCUUUCAGUGGGGAAGAUAAUGACGGUACCCACACAAGAAGCCCCGGCUAACUUCGUGCCAGCAGCCGCGGUAAUACGAAGGGGGCUAGCGUUGUUCGGAUUUACUGGGCGUAAAGCGCACGUAGGCGGAUUGGUCAGUUAGGGGUGAAAUCCCGGAGCUCAACUCCGGAACUGCCUUUAAUACUGCCAGUCUAGAGUCCGAGAGAGGUGAGUGGAACUCCUAGUGUAGAGGUGGAAUUCGUAGAUAUUAGGAAGAACACCAGUGGCGAAGGCGGCUCACUGGCUCGGUACUGACGCUGAGGUGCGAAAGCGUGGGGAGCAAAC
rnacentral:rRNA from 1 species